rnacentral:rRNA from 1 species
AUUGAACGCUGGCGGCAUGCCUUACACAUGCAAGUCGAACGACCGACGGACGGGUGAUUAAUGUCUGGGAAACUGCCUGCUGGGGGUGAAUACCUACUAGCAACGGUAACUCAUACCACAUACCAUCAGCUGUGCCCCGAUGGGAUUAGCUAGUGGGUUGGGUAACGGCUCACCUAGGCGACGAUCCCUAGCUGGUCUGAGAGGAUGACCAGCCACACUGGAACUGAGACACGGUCCAGACUCCUACGGGAGGCAGCAGUGGGGAAUAUUGCACAAGGGGGGAAAGCCUGAUGCAGCCAUGCCGCGUGUGUGAAGAAGGCCUUCGGGUUGUAAAGCACUUUCAGCGGGAAGGCGGUACCCGCAGAAGAAGCACCGGCUAACUACGUGCCAGCCGCCGCGGUAAUAC